rnacentral:sRNA from 1 species
AAAAGAAUAACAUUUGUACCGUAGACAGUAGGUGCUGCAAAGCUUAAUUUCCUACCGAGGUGUGUGAGAUAAAUUAGUGAAACGUUAUGGUUCGCUUACUACACCUCCAUGUCUUUAUUGUCAUGGAGGUUUUUUAUUGCACCU